AAAUUUAAAUAAUAAGGGUGAAAAAUUGAAUAUUAAUUUGAUUAAUAUCAAUUUAAAACCAGUUGACUAGCAUAUUGAAAAACUGGGUUUCUGAUGACUUAGAAAAAU